UUGGUGGAUGAAGUGAAGGUGUGAAAGAACAAAAACACAGAAAGACAAUGAAUGGGUCAAUACCUCAUUUCGUGGAUAAAUGAUAGCUCUUAUAUUUUAAAAUCAAUUUUGGGGCUUUCUUGUUUUAACAAGUUCCACGAUAAAUUACGGUUAUAAAUCUUCGGAAAAGCUUGGAGCCAAGUUAAUUUUUUUAUUUUUGAGUUUAAUUGGGAACCAUAUUCUGAUGACUUAAUUGAGAGUCUUCCUGACUAUUGUCGCAUGGGACAAGGGGAAGACCAAAUAAAAAUUGAGAGUUAGAGCAUGCGCAAUGAUUGCCUUUUUUGGAAUCAGCAACUUCAAUAUAUUUGUGAUCCACUGGUCAAUCAUGAACCACUUCGAUACGAUGACCCUUACUUUACUUGGGUCGACGCGUCACUCGUAUUGUUAUUGGUAAUCCUACUCAGCGUCCUCAACAACUAGAAGGUUAUGUGUCAAAUUCAACGGCAUAUGAAACAAUGAUAUCUAUUAGAUCAUAUGUGUUCGUGAUUUAUCUUUUGGGGUUAUACCAAUGGCAAGGUGAAUAUUACUUGUUC